rnacentral:rRNA from 1 species
GACGAACGCUGGCGGCGUGCUUAACACAUGCAAGUCGAACGGAAAGGCCCUGCUUGUGUGGGGUGCUCGAGUGGCGAACGGGUGAGUAACAGGUGAGUAACCUGCCCUUGACUUUGGGAUAACUUCAGGAAACGGGGGCUAAUACCGGAUAGGAGCUCCUGCUGCAUGGUGGGGGGUGGAAAGUUUCGGCGGGUGGGGAUGGACUCGCGGCUUAUGAGCUUGCUGGUGGGGGAGGGGAUUACCAAGGCAUGGACGGGUAGCCGGCAUGAGAGCGUGACCGGCCACAAUAGGCCUGCGAUACGGCGCAGUCUCCUACGGGGGGCAGCAGUGGGGAAUCUUGCACAAUGAGCGGACGCCUGAUGCAGCAGCGCCGCGUGCGGGAUGACGUCCUUCGGGUUGUAAACCGCUUUCGCCUGUGACGCAGCGUGAGUGACGGUAAUGGGUAAAGAAGCACCGGCUAACUACGUG